rnacentral:tRNA from 1 species
GCCUGGGUGGCUCAGUCGGUUAAGCGUCUGACUUCAGCUCAGGUCAUGAUCUCACGGUCUGUGGGUUCAAGCCCCGCGUUGGGCU